rnacentral:misc_RNA from 1 species
AGCUGUUUCAAAGUCAUGGAGAUCAGUCUGGCAAGCUGUUGAGAAUCAGUGCAAUGUCUUUGCAACAUGUGGCGAGCAUGGUGUCUGUGUUUUCAAUUCAUCAGGCUCCCCUGAAUGCCGUUGCCCAUUUAAGAUAACAUCUGAUCCUAACUCAAAAUGUUUUGCACAGGAUUGUAAAUCUGCUUCCAGUAUGGUUACAUAUGAGCACACCUCUCUUUAUGAGAUUUAUCCACCAACUGACUCAAUUAUCCUAACUAGUUUACGGCAAUGCGAAGCCUUUUGCCUGAGGAACUCAUUUUGUACAGCUGCAACGUUCACAAAUGAUGGAACUGCUAAAUGCCUAGUGAAAACAACUCCUUACUUCUCUGGCUAUUCAGGCCCCUCUUUAAGUUCUGUAUCUUUUAUCAAGACAUGUUCAGACCCGUUACCUGUUGAUCCCCAUGCUUCAAGAUCUUCUUCAGCACAAUCUCCAGGUAACGGGUCUGAACAUGUCUUGAUA